GAUGAAGAACGCAGCGAAAUGCGAUACGUAAUGUGAAUUGCAGAAUUCAGUGAAUCAUCGAGUCUUUGAACGCACAUUGCGCCCCCUGGUAUUCCGGGGGGCAUGCCUGUCCGAGCCUCAUUGCUGCCCUCAAGCACGGCUUGUGUGUUGGGCCUCCGUCCUCCUCCCGGGGGACGGGCCCGAAAGGCAGCGGCGGCACCGCGUCCGGUCCUCGAGCGUAUGGGGCUUCGUCACCCGCUCUUGUAGGCCCGGCCGGCGCUUGCCGACACAUCAAUCUUUUUUCCAGGUUGACCUCGGAUCAGGUAGGGAUACCCGCUGAACUUAAGCAUAUCAAUAAGCGGAGGA
rnacentral:misc_RNA from 1 species